CGAGUCCGAGGAGCUAAGGCUCCAAAGUGAUGCGAGUCAGACUUCCCAGAAAAGCCCGAAGCACGUUAAUUUCUAAUUACCUGUACCCGAAACCGACACAGGUGGGUAGGUAGAGUAUACUAAGGGGCGCGAGAUAACUCCCUCUAAGGAACUCGGCAAAAUGACUCCGUAACUUCGGGAGAAGGAGUGCCUUAUUUAUAAGGUUGCAAUAACAAGAUCCAAGCAACUGUUUAUCAAAAACACAGGUCUCCGCUAAGUCGUAAGACGAUGUAUGGGGGCUGACGCCUGCCCAGUGCCAGAAGGUUAAAGAAGUUGGUUAGUGUAUGCGAAGCUGAUGACUGAAGCCCUGGUGAACGGCGGCCGUAACGAUAACGGUCCUAAGGUAGCGAAAUUCCUUGUCGGGUAAGUUCCGACCCGCACGAAAGGCGUAAUGAUUUGGAUACUGUCUCGGAGAGAGGCUCGGUGAAAUAGACUUGUCUGUGAAGAUGCGGACUACCUGCACCAGGACAGAAAGACCCUAUGAAGCUUUACUGUAACUUGAAAUUGGAAUUGGACUUUGCUUGCGCAGUAUAGGUGGGAAGCGUUGAAGAUAUUCUUGCGGGAGUAUUGGAGCUAUCAGUGAGAUACCACUCUUGUAAUGUUAGAUUUCUAACUUUGAACCAUAAUCUGGUCAAAGAACAGUUUCAGGUGGGCAGUUUGACUGGGGCGGUCGCCUCCCAAAUGGUAACGGAGGCGUACAAAGGUUUCCUCUGAACGGAUAGAAAUCGUAUCUAGAGUGUAAAGGCAUAAGGAAGCUUGACUGUGAGACCUACAAGUCGAGCAGGGACGAAAGUCGGUCUUAGUGAUCUGACGGUACUGAGUGGAAAGGCCGUCACUCAACGGAUAAAAGUUACUCUAGGAUAACAGGCUGAUCUCCCCCAAGAGUUCACAUCGACGGGGAGGUUUGGCACCUCGAUGUCGGCUCAUCGCAUCCUGGGGCGGUAGUACGUCCCAAGGGUUGGGCUAUUCGCCCAUGAAAGCGGUACGCGAGCUGGGUUCAGAACGUCGUGAGACAGUUCGGUCCAUAUCCGGUGUAGGCGUUAGAAUAUUGAGAGGAGCCUUCUUUAGUACGAGAGGACCGAGAAGGACACACCGCUGGUGUACCAGUUAUCGUGCCAACGGUAAACGCUGGGUAGCUAUGUGUGGAGUGGAUAACCGCUGAAAGCAUCUAAGUGGGAAGCCCACCUCAAGAUGAG
rnacentral:rRNA from 1 species